rnacentral:rRNA from 1 species
UCUUGCAUUCAAUCAAAUCCUCCUGAAUACACCCAGAUUUCAUCCUAACUCAGAAGUUAAGGUGAUAAUGCCUGGUUAGUACUUGGAUUAGAGACUCCUUAGAAAUACCAGAUGUUGCAGGCU